rnacentral:tRNA from 1 species
GGGGAUUUAGCUCAGUGGUAGAGCGCUUGCCUAGGAAGCGCAAGGUCCUGGGUUCAGUCCCCAGUCCCCA